rnacentral:rRNA from 1 species
GACGAACGCUGGCGGCGUGCUUAACACAUGCAAGUCGAGCGGUAAGGCCCUUUCGGGGGUACACGAGCGGCGAACGGGUGAGUAACACGUGGGUGACCUGCCCUCAGCUCUGGGAUAAGCCUGGGAAACCGGGUCUAAUACUGGAUAUGACUCCAUGACGCAUGUUGUGGGGUGGAAAGCCUUGUGCGGCUGAGGAUGGGCCCGCGGCCUAUCAGCUUGUUGGUGGGGNGAUGGCCUACCAAGGCGACGACGGGUAGCCGGCCUGAGAGGGCGACCGGCCACACUGGGACUGAGACACGGCCCAGACUCCUACGGGAGGCAGCAGUGGGGAAUCUUGCGCAAUGGGCGAAAGCCUGACGCAGCGACGCCGCGUGAGGGAUGACGGCCUGGUGU